rnacentral:lncRNA from 1 species
GCAUUUAGAUAGUUUUCCUUUCUUUCAUUCCUUGAUCAUGCGUUGAGAUGACUUGAAUUUGACUUUUAAAUAUCUCUUUCGCAAAUAGCUCGAACACACACAUCCUCAUUUGUUGAACGAUGAACGCGGUGCUGGAGUGGUACUACCCGCGGUGGUGGUCGAGCUAGGGUUCACCAAGCUUAAGCUCAAACAAAGACACAGGGGCUUCUCAGCCUAUAGUUAUGAAUGGGGGACAACCCCAAGUUGUGUCAGAACAUAUGAAUGCUCCACCACCAAUGUUGUACCUAUUAUUUCAUUACCCACAAAUACAAUGGCAAGGUUGUUGAAUGUGUUAGAGGCAUUGGUGCCUACUCAAGGUAGACUUCCAGUUCCUCGACAAACACAAGUUCAGCUAAAUGUUGCAGCUCCGUAGAUACCUCAAAUGGUCCCUCAGCAAGUUGUUCAGCCAGUUGCAACUAUAGGUCAGUCUAAAGAUCUAAAGAAUUUUAUAGAUCUUAAGCCACAGGAGUUCGAUGAUACAUCGGCUUCUAUUGGGCCUCAAAAGUUUAUUGAACAUUGUGAAAAGAUACUGACUACGUUGGGGUAGAAGGAGACUCGUGGUGUGGAGUUUGUUACUUUCCUAUUUUCAGGAUCUGUAGAAUCAUGGUGGACUUCAGUUCAGAGAGGUAGACGAGCAGGGUUGCGACCUAUUGCUUGGUCAGAGUUUUCAGCCAUGUUUAUGGACAGGUUCAUUCCACUAAGCAAACAAGACGACAUGAGAUGUCAGUUGAGCAAGUCCGUUAGGGCACUAUGAUUGUUACAAAGUAUAAGGCUAAGUUCACUAAGUUAGCCAGGUAUGCGCACUUUCUAGUUGUAAAUGAGCAUGAGAAGGUGAUACGGUUUGUGGAUGGACUUGAGCAUCGUUAUCGUGGUCCUGUGGUUAGGAUAUGUGAUACUUUGUAACCACAGGAUCACGAUAACGAUUCUCAAGUCUAUCCACGAACCAUCUCACCUUCUUAUGCUCAUCUACAACCAAAAAGUGUGCAUACCUGGCUAACUCAAUGAACUUAGCCUCAUACUCUGUAACUAUCAUAGUGGCCUGACGCAAUUGCUCAAAAUGAUGUCUCAUGUAGUCCAACUUGCUCAGUGGAAUGAACUUAUCCAUAAACAUGUUUGAAAACUCUCACCAAGUAAUAGGUGGGAACCCUACUUUUCUACCUCUCUAAAUUGAAGUGCACCGUGACUCUACAGAUCCUGAAAAUAGGAAAGUAGCAAACUCCACGCCACAAGUCUACUUCAGCCCUAAUGUAGUCAGUAUCUUUUUACAAUGCUCAAUAAACUUUUGAGGCUCCAUAGAAACCGAUGUAGUAUCGAACUCUAGUGGCUUAAGAUCCAUAAAAUUCUUAAGAUCUUUAGACGGACUUAUAGUUGCAACUGGCUGAACAAUCUGAUAAGGGUCAUCUGAAGUAUAUAAGGAGCUACAACAUUCAGCUGAACUCCUGCUUGUACCUGUGAAGUAGCCUAAGGAACUGGAAGUCCACCCUGAGUAGGCACUAAUACCUCUAACACAUUCAACAACCUCGCCACUAUUUCUACAGGUAAUGAAAUAGUAGGUACAACAACUGGCAAUGGUAGUGGAGCAUCCUGAACCACAUGUUCAUUCACCUGCUUUGGCACAAAAACUUAGGAUGGCCCCAUUUAUAACUCCAGGUUGAGAAGCCUCAUAUGUUCUUGUUUGAGCUUAGUUUGGUGAACCCUAGCGUGACCACUACCACGGGUAGUACCACUUCCAGCACCGCGUCCAGCAGAUGCAUUUCAUCGUCCAGCAGAUGAGGAUGUGUGUCCUAGCCAUCUACGAAAGAAAUAUUUAAAAGUCAAACUCAAGUUAUCUCAACGCACAAUCAAGGAAUGAAAGAAAUAUUUAAAAGUCAAACUCAAGUUAUCUCAAUGCACAAUCAAGGAAUGGAAGAAGGGAAAACAUCAUAAAUGCUUAGUAGCCUCAAGAUCAUAAAUAUGGCCUUUAUAUACCCAUGAACAAGAUUACUAAACACUGGUCCAUGACCCGAAACGUAAAGCCUACGCUAUUAUACCAACUUUGUCACAUCCCAAACUACUCCCAGACGUGCACUCAGCUAACACCACCCACCAAGCGAACUAGUUUAUCGUACACUUAACCAUUUAAACACGCAUUGAAAGAUAACAUGUGCAAUUCCAAACACAUUAAUAAUUAUUAAAUGCGAAAUAUUAUCCAACCAAAUAUAUGAUCGAGUUAUAGAAAAUGCUACGACUACUCAAACAAUAAAUCUCUAACCCAAAUCCACACUAAGAUCAUGGAGCAUCUAAUAGAGCAACAUGAGUUUAACUGACGGGCAUGCAAACCUCAAAAUAAAGAACAUAACUAGCAAAAAUUAGAUAAAGCUAAAGUGACAGCCUCCACGACCAAUGUGGUGGCUCACCUCAGCAACAGAAUCAGCUCGAAUAAACUCGUCAGCCACUAGUCUCGUCCCCCAACAACGGUAUCUGCAUGGACAUGCAGGUACGAAGUGAGUUAUAUGUAAAUAUAAUCCAGUAAAAUCCUUGACCCACCUCUUUGAAUAUUCCUGAAAUAAGUGUUAGAAAGUACAAACACAACAACAAGCACAAAAUAAUGUGUACGAUGAUU